rnacentral:lncRNA from 1 species
UAAACGAAUGUGUUAGCCGCUGCGCGUCCAGCGCACCAUCCAUCCUUGAAACACCACUGGUGACGGUGAGUAAUGAGUAAUCAUCAACGAUUCAUCUCAUGGCGAACAAUGUGGUGAGUAAUCCGUGCGAACGUUGAUAGGUAGCAGAAAGAACAAAAACAAACGAGAUAAGAAUAAUUGAAUCUGAAUUAAGAUAGCAUAUCAUUCGAGUUCUACAAUUAAACUGCUGUUUUACCCUUUCAAUUAAAACUAAUUUCUAGAAGAACUAGUGUUAAAUAGUACAUCGCUGAAUUGGAUACCCAUAACGAUCGGACAAAUUAGAAGAGUAGCUAGUAAUUAAGGCCACGAUAGUGACAGCUAGCGCAUAUAGAUCCCGAGAGAGUGAGGUACGAAUUCAUUCAAAGUACUAUCUCAGAAGUAGGAUCGUUUCGUACAUCCAAUACGCUCAAUUAAUUGCCGAACUUGAAAGUGAAACGAAGGGACUAAACGAAAUUAUAUUCUCCCAAUACCAAACCGCCCGAGUUUUAUUUGCCUUCGGUCGGAGAAUAACAUUUCGGAAAUCAUUCCCGUUGAAAUCGAGUUUCAACAUUAUAUAAUUUCGUUUAUUGGACGAAUUGAGCAUUAUGCCUAGUCGUGGUUGUAUCCGAUCAGGCGUGAAGGGGGAUAAA